UACGUAGGGUCCAAGCGUUAUCCGGAGUUACUGGGCGUAAAGCGUGCGCAGGCGGCUUGUUAAGUGAGGUGUGAAAUCUGGCGGCUCAACCGUGUAGAUUGCAUCUCAUACUGGCAGGCUAGAGUAUGGCAGAGGCAAGUGGAAUUGGCAGUGUAGCAGUGAAAUGCGUAGAUAUUGCCAGGAACACCAAUGGCGAAGGCAGCUUGCUGGGCCACUACUGACGCUCAGGCACGAAAGCGUGGGGAGCGAACAGG
rnacentral:rRNA from 1 species